rnacentral:misc_RNA from 1 species
AACCACUCACGCCUAGCGUGGUAUUGGGGCACGCGGUCUUGCGGCCCUCAAAAUUAGUGGCGGCGCCGGUGGGCUCUAAGCGUAGUACAUACUCCCGCUAUUGAGUUCCCCCGGUGGCUCGCCAGAACCCCCAAUUUUUUACA